GCUGGCAGGAACCCACACCCUCAACAUCACCUCAACAAUGAUAUCCCAACAGUCACCAAUUGUCUUUGAGGACAGAUUGGGAUCAAAAUACGUGGGCUAUCGUAGCUCAUCCACUGAUAAAGUUCCCUUUGUUGGACAUGCAGACUGCACUGCCUGCCAGUCAUUGCCAUGCCUGUAUGGGAGCUGUGAGCUCACAGCCCAAAGCAGUGAUGGAGCACCUGGAGAGGGGUGUAGCCCUGUGAGCACAGGUGGAAGCAGUUCCCAGGACCAGCUGAGGCUGAACCCAGCUCCACUCCUCCCUGGCCACAUUUAAGGGCUGGCAGGAAGAGAGGCAGCAUGUCUUUCUGGAGCCUGCUUGCUUAGGAGCAUGGGGUGAGCCAUGGAGUGGGUGAGCUGUGCCAUCUUUGGGUAUCCUGACUGCGUUUAAGGGCUGUAAGCCUGAAGGGCGGCAUCUCUCCUUGGGGACUGCUUCCCGUGGAAUGCAGGGUAAGAGCAUUUGUCUUUGGAAGGGGGUGUGCGGUCCCUUCCUGGGAGCAGCCCUGCGGAGAAGCACUGGGGGGUCCUGGUGGACGAGCAGCAGCACAUGGGCCAGUGAUGUGCACGUCUGGCCUAGGAGGUCAGCGAUAUCCGGGGCCGUGUUAAUAGAGGAGCGGCCAGCAGGGAGAAGGAGCCGAUUGUCGGUGCAGCGUCAGGGCGAAGGUGGGGAGCUGCUGGGGGCGGCUGCGCCCGCGUUAAGGAGCCGUGCGAGGAGCAGCGACACCGACAGCGCGAGAUACGACGCGUCCAGCGGGAUCCGCUCGAGCAGCCCGAGGGGACACGGCGGCCGUCAGGACUCCCGGCACCGGGCCGGACAUGGGGGGUCAUGCACUUGGAUUUGCCCACGGCGCUGCCGCCCAGGCACGUGAUCUUCACGGCCUCCGCAGCGCCGCCCUCAACCGAGGCCUCAGCCCGGGGCUGCUCCGCUCCAACGCUGCGUCCCCGCUGCGCGAUGCAUUGCGUCAUCACCCGCGCGCCGUCGUACUCUGAUGACGUCAUCACAGCUGCGCCGUCUCGUGGGGUUGAAAGGCGGGGUCAGAGCUGGGGGCGGAGCCUGCGGAGUAGCGACCAAUGAGAGGGAGGGACGGGCGGUGGGCGGGGCUUGAGUGGAGGGGCGGGUCUAUGCUAAUCAGAGCCGCGGGGGUCGCCGGGAGCGCUCCGCCACGAUGAACCGGGGCCCGGCGGAGCCGCUGUCGGGGACGGAGCGGGAGCGGCACCGGCGGAGCGGGGUUGAGGUUGGAUUCCUGUUGUCAGUAUGCCCAUUCCAGAUCCAUUUCAGCUCUGAAUUCAACAUCUGUGUACAUAGAACAAAGACAAGGACCCAAUGUGUGCAGGAUGGAUCCCAAUGUGUGCUCACAUUGCAAUGUGGGACAUCUAUCCUGUUGUCUCCUUACUGGGUAUCAAUGAGCAACAACAUUCUUGCUGGAUCCCAAUGGAGCU